AUUGAACGCUGGCGGCAGGCUUAACACAUGCAAGUCGAGCGGAGUGAUGGUGCUUGCACUAUCACUUAGCGGCGGACGGGUGAGUAAUGCUUAGGAAUCUGCCUAUUAGUGGGGGACAACAUUUCGAAAGGAAUGCUAAUACCGCAUGCGUCCUACGGGAGAAAGCAGGGGAUCUUCGGACCUUGCGCUAAUAGAUGAGCCUAAGUCGGAUUAGCUAGUUGGUGGGGUAAAGGCCUACCAAGGCGACGAUCUGUAGCGGGUCUGAGAGGAUGAUCCGCCACACUGGGACUGAGACGCGGCCCAGACUCCUACGGGAGGCAGCAGUGGGGAAUAUUGGACAAUGGGCGCAAGCCUGAUCCAGCCAUGCCGCGUGUGUGAAGAAGGCCUUAUGGUUGUAAAGCACUUUAAGCGAGGAGGAGGCUACUCUAGUUAAUACCUAGGGAUAGUGGACGUUACUCGCAGAAUAAGCACCGGCUAACUCUGUGCCAGCAGCCGCGGUAAUACAGAGGGUGCAAGCGUUAAUCGGAUUUACUGGGCGUAAAGCGCGCGUAGGCGGCUAAUUAAGUCAAAUGUGAAAUCCCCGAGCUUAACUUGGGAAUUGCAUUCGAUACUGGUUAGCUAGAGUGUGGGAGAGGAUGGUAGAAUUCCAGGUGUAGCGGUGAAAUGCGUAGAGAUCUGGAGGAAUACCGAUGGCGAAGGCAGCCAUCUGGCCUAACACUGACGCUGAGGUGCGAAAGCAUGGGGAGCAAACAGGAUUAGAUACCCUGGUAGUCCAUGCCGUAAACGAUGUCUACUAGCCGUUGGGGCCUUUGAGGCUUUAGUGGCGCAGCUAACGCGAUAAGUAGACCGCCUGGGGAGUACGGUCGCAAGACUAAAACUCAAAUGAAUUGACGGGGGCCCGCACAAGCGGUGGAGCAUGUGGUUUAAUUCGAUGCGACGCGAAGAACCUUACCUGGCCUUGACAUAGUAAGAACUUUCCAGAGAUGGAUUGGUGCCUUCGGGAACUUACAUACAGGUGCUGCAUGGCUGUCGUCAGCUCGUGUCGUGAGAUGUUGGGUUAAGUCCCGCAACGAGCGCAACCCUUUUCCUUAUUUGCCAGCGAGUAAUGUCGGGAACUUUAAGGAUACUGCCAGUGACAAACUGGAGGAAGGCGGGGACGACGUCAAGUCAUCAUGGCCCUUACGGCCAGGGCUACACACGUGCUACAAUGGUCGGUACAAAGGGUUGCUACCUAGCGAUAGGAUGCUAAUCUCAAAAAGCCGAUCGUAGUCCGGAUUGGAGUCUGCAACUCGACUCCAUGAAGUCGGAAUCGCUAGUAAUCGCGGAUCAGAAUGCCGCGGUGAAUACGUUCCCGGGCCU
rnacentral:rRNA from 1 species